rnacentral:rRNA from 1 species
GUGGGGAAUAUUGCGCAAUGGGGGAAACCCUGACGCAGCGACGCCGUGUGAGGGAAGAAGGCUUUCGGGUUGUAAACUUCUUUUACCAGGGACGAAACAAAUGACGGUACCUGGUGAAUAAGCCACGGCUAACUACGUGCCAGCAGCCGCGGUAAUACGUAGGUGGCGAGCGUUAUCCGGAUUUAUUGGGUGUAAAGGGCGUGUAGGCGGGACAGCAAGUCAGAUGUGAAAACCAGAGGCUCAACCUCUGGCCUGCAUUUGAAACUGUUGUUCUUGAGUGUCGGAGAGGUAAUCGGAAUUCCGUGUGUAGCGGUGAAAUGCGUAGAUAUACGGAGGAACACCAGUGGCGAAGGCGGAUUACUGGACGAUAACUGACGCUGAGGCGCGAAAGCGUGGGGAGCAAACAGGAUUAGAUACCCUUGUAGUCC